CAGGCCUAACACAUGCAAGUCGAACGGUGAAGCCCAGCUUGCUGGGUGGAUCAGUGGCGAACGGGUGAGUGACACGUGAGCAAUCUGCCCCUGACUCUGGGAUAAGCGCUGGAAACGGUGUCUAAUACUGGAUAUGAGCUGCGACCGCAUGGUCAGUAGUUGGAAAGAUUUUUCGGUCAGGGAUGAGCUCGCGGCCUAUCAGCUUGUUGGUGAGGUAAUGGCUCACCAAGGCGUCGACGGGUAGCCGGCCUGAGAGGGUGACCGGCCACACUGGGACUGAGACACGGCCCAGACUCCUACGGGAGGCAGCAGUGGGGAAUAUUGCACAAUGGGCGGAAGCCUGAUGCAGCAACGCCGCGUGAGGGAUGACGGCCUUCGGGUUGUAAACCUCUUUUAGCAGGGAAGAAGCGAAAGUGACGGUACCUGCAGAAAAAGCGCCGGCUAACUACGUGCCAGCAGCCGCGGUAAUACGUAGGGCGCAAGCGUUAUCCGGAAUUAUUGGGCGUAAAGAGCUCGUAGGCGGUUUGUCGCGUCUGCUGUGAAAUCCCGAGGCUCAACCUCGGGCCUGCAGUGGGUACGGGCAGACUAGAGUGCGGUAGGGGAGAUUGGAAUUCCUGGUGUAGCGGUGGAAUGCGCAGAUAUCAGGAGGAACACCGAUGGCGAAGGCAGAUCUCUGGGCCGUAACUGACGCUGAGGAGCGAAAGGGUGGGGAGCAAACAGGCUUAGAUACCCUGGUAGUCCACCCCGUAA
rnacentral:rRNA from 1 species